CUCCCAGCAACAAACAUUACAUCACAGGCCUUUCAGAUUCUAUCCUCAUGUGAUGGAUCAUCUAGAAUUUAAAGAAGUACUACAGACCACUUGGUGACAACAUAAUCCAGAUUGUACAUGAAACCAGGGGCGGAUCUAUGUGGACAGGUGGGGGUGCCACGGCACCCAGUGAUCUCGGAGAAAAACGUCGUUUAUAUAUGUAUAUAUGCAUAAUAAUUCAAUAUAUAUUACUUUUGCCACCCACUGACUGAAAUGCAGAACAGCUCAAUUGGCGAAGGAGUUGGUCUGCCACACAGCCAACGCGGGUUCGAACCUCACUGCCAACACUUAAUUUUUUGCUUGCUCCUUUUCUUCUUUACUUUUCUUUUUUGUCUUUUUCAUUAGUAUGUAAAGGUGCUUAAUUUAUUUUUUUUCUCCAUUCAUUCUAAUUAUUUACUAUUCUUUAUUAAUUCAAAUUGACUCCUUUUCAUGAUUAAUUUUUAGUUCUUCUUUUCUUUUUCAUCAGUAUGUAAAGGGCUUAAUUUUUUUUUCUCCAUUCAUUCUAAUUUAUUUACUAUUCUUUAUUAAUUCAAAUUGACUCCUUUUCAUGAUUAAUUUUUAAUUGUUUUUGUUUACUUUCUCUUGCACUAAUUAUUAAUCUCUUGAUAUGGGUGUUACAUGUUUAUUUUUAUCAAUUAAAAUAAAUAUUAUUAAGAAUAUAUUCAAAUAGUAAUUUUUUAAAAUAUGUUUUAAAAAUGAUGAUUAUUAUUAUUAGAGUUUUUUUUUUUUUUUAAAUAAAGGUUCUUUCAAUCUUCACCGACGUUCUUGCUAAGUAAGAUGACUAGGCUGAAACUACAAUUUUUAUUAUUUCCCUACUAUAUAUCUCCAACAACACAUAAAGUCAAUGUAAUAUGAAUAUAUUAUGUUAAUACUAUUAGAUGGUUUAUACAAGCUCAAAUUUUAAUGUGAAAAAUCUUUUUUUUUCUCAAAGUUUUAGCAAAUAAGACAUCUAAUUCCAAAAAGGGAAAAAAUUGAACUGUUUAGUUAUCUCUAAUCUCAGAAUAUCUAAAGAAAUAUUACUAACAUGCAUAUUUGAUCGAUUUGUUUAUAAAAAAUAAAUCAGUAACCCGAAUUGUAACCCAAAAUUAAAGCAACCGAUCAUUUUAUCUUACUUGAACGUUGUGGCACCCACGACCUCCAAAUCCUAGAUCCGCCCCUGCAUGAAACACCUAUGGGAUAAACUCAAGACGGUGAAGACAUAAAUGAAGAAUAUAAAUGCAUACAUGACUUCUUACAAGCAGAAACUCAGUUUGUCAAGGGAGAAAUUAGAAAUUAUACAAGGGCAAAUCCAAGGGCAAUUAUUUUCACAUAUAUUAUUUGACCAGGAGAAUCAGUAUUGAUAGAAGUCCAAAAAUGGAGCAACAUUGAUGAGCAAGUGUUGAGGAAGAAGGCUAGAGCUACCUGGAUAGAACAUGAAGAUACAAAUACACAAUAUUUUCAUGCCCAAUAGAAAAUUAGAACUAGCCAUAAUACAAUCACUUCAAUUAACACUGAGGUUGGUAUAAAGCUUACUGAACCAAGGCAGAUUGAAAAUGAGUUCAUCUUUAUUUUUAAAGGUUUAAUGGGGACCAUAGAAUAUAUAUUGCCAUGUCUAAAUACUCUGGUGGUCAAAACUGGAGUGUGCCUAAAUGUGCA
rnacentral:lncRNA from 1 species